GAGCGCGCGAGCCGGCGGCGGGGGCGGGCAGGAGGGCCCGGAGGAGGGAGGCGGUGGCGGCGGCGUUGAGAACCUAGAGCCUGAGCCCGGCCGGGGCCGAGCAGAGCGGUGCGCGGCGGCGGCAGCGGCGGCGGUAGCUGGGCCGGGAGAGGCUGGCGCGCCGGGCGGCUCUGCGAAUCCUCCGGCAUCCGCCCCGGCGGGUCGCCCCCGCCCGCGGCAGCCCCCGAGCAGCGGCCCGGCACCGGCGCCUUCCCGGCGGGCAGGAGUGAACCAUGGAGCUUCGUGUGGGGAACAAGUACCGCCUGGGCCGGAAGAUCGGGAGCGGAUCCUUUGGAGAUAUCUACCUGGGUGCCAACAUUGCCUCUGGUGAAGAAGUUGCUAUCAAGCUCGAGUGUGUGAAGACAAAGCACCCCCAGCUGCACAUCGAGAGCAAGUUCUACAAGAUGAUGCAGGGGGGAGUGGGAAUCCCGUCCAUCAAGUGGUGCGGGGCCGAGGGUGACUACAACGUGAUGGUCAUGGAGUUGCUGGGGCCCAGCCUCGAGGACCUCUUCAACUUCUGCUCCCGAAAGUUUAGCCUCAAGACGGUGCUGCUCCUGGCGGACCAGAUGAUCAGCCGCAUCGAGUACAUCCACUCCAAGAACUUCAUCCACCGGGACGUCAAACCCGACAACUUCCUCAUGGGGCUGGGGAAGAAGGGCAACCUGGUGUACAUCAUCGACUUCGGGCUGGCCAAGAAGUACCGGGACGCCCGCACCCACCAGCACAUCCCCUACCGGGAAAACAAGAACUUGACCGGCACGGCCCGCUACGCCUCCAUCAACACCCACCUGGGCAUCGAGCAAAGCCGUCGAGAUGACCUGGAGAGUCUGGGUUACGUGCUCAUGUACUUCAACCUGGGCUCCCUGCCCUGGCAGGGCCUCAAGGCGGCCACCAAGCGCCAGAAGUAUGAGCGCAUCAGCGAGAAGAAGAUGUCGACGCCCAUCGAGGUCCUCUGCAAAGGCUACCCCUCUGAGUUCUCAACAUACCUCAACUUCUGCCGUUCACUGCGGUUCGAUGACAAGCCUGACUACUCCUACCUGCGCCAGCUCUUCCGCAACCUCUUCCACCGGCAGGGCUUCUCCUAUGACUACGUCUUCGACUGGAACAUGCUCAAAUUCGUGAGUCACCUGGAGGCCAAGGAGGGCUUGGGGGACUGGACUGGGAAGGCGAACGUGACCUGGUGGCGGGCGGGGCUCCCGGAAGACGGGAGCUAUGAGCCGGACAGCGCAAGUGACCUCACUGGGGUCCCGGGGCCCGCGUGCUCCCCCCACUCCAGCCUCACCCAUGCUGAUGACACGUGCCACCGUGGUCAGCGAGGCCCCUGUGGGAUGCCUCCUCCCACCAGACCCAAGAGGGCUUGUCUGGGCCUGCCCUCCCUCCUAGGGUCCUGGAGGGGGGGUGCCUGGAUGGCGCUGGCCGGCCCCCCCGCGGUCUUGAUCAUGGCCUACACUGUCCUGCUCUUGCUCUUCUGCACGUCCCAGGUGGCGGCCUUCACUCGGGCCCCCUUGGCCAGCCUGGACCCCUUCAUUGUGCUCUCUUUCUUCUUGGUCAUGGGCCCCUGGGUCUUGCUAGGCGCCUCUUUCAUCUCUCUCUCUUAAGAGUGGGGGUGGUGGGGUGGGGAGUAGUGUUGGUUGGCUGGGCCUGGAGCUCAGGAAUGUGUGAAAUCCUGUGUCUUGUUUCGCAUCUCUUCUGGAAAAGGGGGCUUCCUCGAGCCAGGCUCAGCCCCGUGACAGCGAAGCUAUUGCACUGCCCUGCCCCCGCCCCUGUCCCUGUGCCGGGCCCACGUACCCACCCACAUACUGGUAAGGACCCUCCAAGACCUGACCUCUCCAAGACUGACCGCUUGGCCGGGCGAGCACAGAGGCUGAGCCUCUGCUGUGCUCUCUCUGUCCCUUCCAGGUGCCCGGCGCCCCUGGGCACCCAGUUUCCCGCAGAUAGGCCCAUGGAGGAGGUGGAGAAGUUGCCUCCCCCAAACUACUGGCCUGUGGUCUGGACUCCUGGGCCCCAAUUCUGACAUCAGCAAGUGUGCCCGAGCCUAUCGGGGCCAGGCCCGAGGAGACGUCCCUUGGCAUGGUGGGGGCACAGUGGAGAGGGUGUGGCAGAGAAGGUCCUGCUGCGAGAUUCCUGGGGACAAAUCGGCUGCCUGAUGAACAGAGCCUGAAGGAGAGAUGAUGUUCCCUGCCCUGGAGGGCCUGCCGAGAACGGGUACCAGAUGCAGCCUCAGCCUGACCCUGUCAGCGGCCUCUGUCUUGAACCCGAACUCAUUAAAUGCCCGCCCCCCCCGUACUGCAGUUCAUCGUCGUGUGCCUCUCUUUUCACGGCGGGCACCUUCAGCCCACGCCGCCAGCUGCUCAGGACCGAGGCCUUGUUCUCCAAGACGCUGGGAUUGCACUGGCCUUGGUCUCCUUCUCUUUCUGGUUCUCAGACAGUGGCCUGGUACUGUUCCCUAAGGAGUGGGGCAGAGGUUGGGCAGAGGAUGGGAGUUCAUGGCCAAAGGACCCAGGGGUGACCGUGGGGUGCCUUUCACCCCAGACCUUUGGGCUGAGAGCACAGCCGAGGGCCUGGGGCCAGCUCUUCUUGCCCCUGGGCACUGCUCAGGGCGCUGGGCACUCACUCAUUUAUGUAGAGAGGUGUUCCUGUGUCUGGUUCUCGGCUGGGUUUGGCCCUUCUUCUUGGCACAGCUCCAGCAGAGGGGUCUGCGUUAUCCAGGCCUGUCACCUCCCAUAGGGUAGCCACUGGCUUCUUGUGGCUGGCUAAGUGAAUUAAAGCUGGAAACAUACUUCUGCAGUUGCCUUUGCCACAUUCAGAGUUCAGGAGCCACAGGUGGCUGCCUAGUGGCUCUAAUGAAUACCCAGCAAGGCGGUUGUGAGCACAUCCCUCAUCACAGAGAGGCUGCGGGACCUGCCACUCCAGACGGCUCCUCAGAGAGCCUCUCAUGGGACCAUAAAGCCGACAAGAUCCCACCUCAAGCCAGGCUAGGAGCUCCCUCUCCACCCAUUGCUGGCACCCCGACCCCUGCCUGGGGUUCUCUUGGAGGCAGGCCCUGGGGUCAGAAGCUGAGCAGAGGUGCCAGCAGCCUUGUCCUGCACUGAUUGAUCUCUGGCUUGAGGGCCAUCGGACUGGAUAAUUGGGCACCUUUGACCCCAUCACCACGCCGGUGAGCUCACCAUGGAGCCUCCAGCUGCCUGCGACGGAAACAUCUGCAGGCACGCACUGGGGACCUACCACACUCAUCUCAAGGCCAAGCCCCUCCCACAUCAACCCCCACACCCCUGCAGGAAGCCUACGCCAGCACCUACCAGCAGGCUGGACACUCCGCUGGGCACUGUGGGCUGCAGACUCCCGUGGGAAGAAUCCUGCCCUUGACUGAGAACUUGCCUCUUUGAAGUGCCCACCCCAUAUGGUUGGGUAUCAGGGCCCUGGAAUCCCUGGAUCCCGGAGGCUGGGAUGCUGCUCUCAGGAUGCAGGGCCAGUGUCUUCCAAGGUCCAACUAGCUGGCCAGGUGGAAACUCAACACAGCUAAGGACAGGAGUCUGCACGACGUGGGUGGAUGCCUGUGUGACUUUGACAUUGACCUGUACUUUCUUGUGGGCAAAUAAAAGCCAAGAGACCUCCCUAGUGUGCAUUUCCUGAGGCGUCGCUUGGGUGGGGUGGAAACAGGGAGAGUAGCUCCCCUCCUGCCACAGGGCUGGGUCAGCCGAUCCUGCUCUGGUCACAAGGGGCAGGGGCUCCAGCCCUCCGCUCAGCUUCAGCCUCUGUGCUGUGCGCCUCUGUGUGAAUACCCUGGCUUCGCUCAGCCUCAGUUCCCCAACUGUGGAGUGAGCGCAUAGCUGCCUUGCGAGUUGAUGUGCCCCCGGGACAUGUGACGAGUGGGUGCUGCAGCUCUUACUUCCAGGUGUUGCUGUGCUUCCGGCUGAAUUGCUCUCUGUGCCCGUCUAACUGGGUGGGGGCCCUGGUUGAAGGCUGGAGGUCAGGAGAUGGUGCCCUGGUGCUUCCACGCCUGCCUGGCCAGGCUUGUUGGGGGAGGGCUGGGAAGUGCGCCCCUGAAGUCUGCUGAGUCCUCCCGAGAUACAGAGAUCAGCUCAGAACAGCUCUGUGGCCCCAGGAGGGUCAUGAGGCCUCUCUGGGCCUCGGUUCCGCACUAGGAUUCAGGGAUCAUUCUGAUCCCCGGCCACUACCUACUAGAGUUGCUUAAAGUUGAGGGCCACGCCCACCUCAUCACCCAGGGAUGAUAGGGCUUCUUGACCAGUUCCCUGGGAGAGACAGGGUUGCAGGAGCCUGUACUCCAUGGCCCCUGAGCAGUUCCCCAACUCAGCCCGCAGCUCUCUCCUCCACAGAUGCGGCCCCCCUCAUGCCAGCCCCCCGCCCUUCCCUGUGGACGACCCCAGGACCAACUAGGUAAUGCGGCAAGGCGCUGCUCCCAAGCCGUGCUCCUCUUUCUGGGCCUUUCUUCUUUCCUCCUGUGCUGGGGGUGGCAGUGGCUGGAGGGCAGGGGCCCAUGGCUCCCUUCUGUCCCAGCCUGCCUGCUGGGCCUCUCUCUUCAUGGGGCAUCUAGCCCAUUCCUUUUCCAGCUCCCAUCCCAGGUCAGGCAGUGUCUGCGUGGGUCCCCCGGGCCUCUUGGUUGUGACCUCCCCCAGCACCUGCCAGAGCUAUUGCCAGAGCUAUUGCCAGGUCCGGCCCUUUGAAAAGAUCCCUGGUUAGGGACUGGGGGCCCUGGUUGGAGUCCUGGCCCUGCCUUCAGCUAGCCUCGUAACUCUCUGGGGCUCUGAACACCUCCUCUGCUGUGUCUGGAAACCCAGAGGGGAACCCAGGUUGGGAAGGUCAAGGAGUGCCCUUGGUCGUCCUGAGGUGUUGGCCCUCCCAGCUCUGACUCCAGCCCCAUGGGACCAGGGCACAGUGACCUCCCUCCACCUCUCAGGUCCAGCUCUCUCCUUCCAGGCAGUUGUGUGGCUUUGUUUCUCUGCGGUGUGAUUGUGGGUCAUCUCCAGGUCUUGGGCUUCCUGCUUUGUGGGGAGGAGUUUGGACCAGAGGGUUUCUGAGAUGCUACUUCCCCGAGAUGCCCACCUGGCCUCCCUCCCCCUGCUCUGCCCCCAGGGGACUGCUGGGUCCCGGAGCUCCCUGCCCUGGCAGGGCUGACCAGGUCUCCUCUCACGCCCACAGGGUGCAGCCCGGAACCCCGAGGACGUGGACCGGGAGCGGCGAGAACACGAACGCGAGGAGAGAAUGGGGCAGCUCCGAGGGUCCGCAACUCGAGCCCUGCCCCCUGGCCCACCCACGGGGGCCACCGCCAACCGGCUCCGCAGUGCUGCCGAGCCCGUGGCUUCCACCCCCGCCUCCCGCCUCCAGCAAGCUGGCAAUACUUCUCCCAGAGCGAUCUCCCGGGUGGACAGAGAGAGGAAGGUGAGCAUGAGGCUGCACAGGGGCGCACCUGCCAAUGUCUCGUCCUCCGACCUCACUGGGCGGCAAGAGGUCUCCCGGAUUUCAGCCUCACAGACAAGCGUGCCAUUUGACCACCUCGGGAAGUGAGGAGGAGCCACCAUCGGACCAGUAUUUGCUUAGUGUCUUCACUGUAUUUUCUUUUAAAAAAAAAAAACCAACAACAAAAAGAUGGGGAAGAAAAACCACUCAAAAGAACAAAAAAAGACAAAACCCAGCACAAAACUGACGAUGGAUAUUGUUUCGAUUCUUUUUUUUCUUCCCUUUUAUUUCUUUCUUUUUUCUUUUUUCUUUUUUUUUUUUUUUUGCCAAUGGCAAGAAGACGGGCUGCCCUCGGCACAGAGGAUCCUUUUCCUCCGCAUUUCCCGCUGCCCACAGCCUUGAGGCUGCCAAGCGCUCCCUACACCAGGCUACACCUGCCAGACGCCACGGCCCCACCCCUGCCGACGCCCGACAUGGCUUGGAAGGGGGACGUUUCUGCACUGGAGAGGCCACGGGUCCUCACGGGCCCUUGCAAGGUGGCCCAAGGAGCUGGGGGGAAUGGGUUGGUUGGCCAGAGGCAGGUCCCCACUGGGUGUUUGUGAGCCUUGGGGCCACAGGUGUGUGCAGCCCCCACCCCCUGAGAUGAUGGUCACUGACUUUCUGUGCUGGGUCUUCUCCAGUGCUUCCCUGACCGUUCGGGUCCCUUGGCCUCUCCAUGGGGACCUUGAGGAGGAGGGUCAAGAGUCCCUGUGGGCGUGUGUGUAUGUUUCUGACCUGUUAUCUCCCAGGAUGGCAGGUGUCCCACCCACCUGCCAGACCGACUCUCUGUUCUUAUCCCCGCUAACAAGGAUAGGGGUGGGCAGUGACCUCAUGUCCCUCAAGAAGGGCACAGGCUUCGUGCCACCACCGAGCCUGACUGUCAUCAGCCUGUGGUCCCCCUUGCCUGGUCUUAGGGCAGAAUCUGUGGAGACUGCUUCCAGAAAGCCUCUAGCUCUUGGGUUAUAGAUGAAUUCCCUGGUUCUGACUCUCCUGGGGCCUCCCCUCCCUGCGUGCUGCCUCUCUGAGGAGGAGGAGCCCAGGGUCAGGGCUGGGCACUGGAUUUAUCCAUCCCUCCUAGUUAACACCCAUUCUUUCUUUAUUUUGUUUUUUUCCUGUGUGUAUUUCCUAAUUUAUUUACCUCUGUUUCCCCUUUUUUCUCUUUCUUUUUUUUUAAUUAAAGAGCAAAGCUUUUUAUUACUUUGUAAUUUAAAAAACUGAAAAAAAAAUACUGAAGAACUUUGGGGGGAAUUUUGUACUUUUUUCCUGUGUAAAUAUUGGACUUUUUUGAGCUUUAUUGUGGUUGUUAAUUUGAAGUAAUAAAGUAGAAAAGGAUAAAGUGA